rnacentral:misc_RNA from 1 species
AUUUUUAGGGUUUCUCUGCUCUUCUCUCCUAUUUCUUCCUAAAACCUAAUAAAAUGGAAUUAAUUAAUCUUUCUUUAAAUUUCAUUUCUUGUAUAUGUGUGUGUGUGUGUGUGUGUUUUUUUUUUUUUUUUUUUUGGGUGGUGGGGGGGUUGCACCUCACUUCAUCUCUCGCCUUAAUAACACUGUAUAUAGAAUAUAUGAGAAGAUGUGUGAACGACUAAAAUAGGAUAAAGGCUGAAAGUAACAAAAGAAAUCCCCAGCUAAACUAAAAGAAGUUUCCAUACUAUGCAUUACAACUUAGUUGUCUAGGAAACAAGGAGCAAGGUGACAAUAGUG